AGAGUUUGAUCCUGGCUCAGAAUCAACGCUGGCGGCGUGCCUAACACAUGCAAGUCGAACGAGAAAGUGGAGCAAUCCAUGAGUACAGUGGCGCACGGGUGAGUAACACGUGACUAACCUGCCCUUGAGUGGGGGAUAACCUCGGGAAACCGGAGCUAAUACCGCAUAAUAUCGAGAGAUCAAAGGAGCAAUUCGCUUAAGGAGGGGGUCGCGGCUGAUUAGCUAGUUGGUAGGGUAAUGGCCUACCAAGGCAAUGAUCAGUAUCCGGCCUGAGAGGGCGCACGGACACACUGGAACUGAAACACGGUCCAGACUCCUACGGGAGGCAGCAGUGGGGAAUUUUGCGCAAUGGGGGAAACCCUGACGCAGCAACGCCGCGUGGAGGAUGAAGUCCCUUGGGACGUAAACUCCUUUCGAUCGGGACGAUAAUGACGGUACCGGAAGAAGAAGCCCCGGCUAACUUCGUGCCAGCAGCCGCGGUAAUACGAGGGGGGCAAGCGUUGUUCGGAAUUAUUGGGCGUAAAGGGCGCGUAGGCGGUGCGGUAAGAGUGUUGUGAAAUCUUCGGGCUCAACUCGAAGCCUGCAACGCUGACUGCCGUGCUUGAGUGUGGGAGAGGUGAGUG
rnacentral:rRNA from 1 species